rnacentral:lncRNA from 1 species
AUGUGGCAAGCCUGCUGGAGAGGAGGUCCAACAGCCAUUCUGCAUGGUGGAGUGUUGCUGCAGUUUGGCUUCCAAGUCUCAUCAACAGUCAGGAAAGAAGUAACUGUCUGCUCCAGCUCUUUUAUGGCUUUAAGAGGAACUUAAGACGGAAUUCAGCGGCUACCUUUUGUGGAGAGACUAAAAAGAUUGGGAGUCUUCAGCAGUGAAAAGAGAAGGUGGGGAAGAGAAGUGAUGACAUCAUGAAAAUUCUGGAUAAGGUAGGAGCAAAAUUUCUGUUCA